rnacentral:rRNA from 1 species
UAGCCAGACUCCUACGGGAGGCAGCAGUGGGGGAUAUUGCACAAUGGGGGGAACCCUGAUGCAGCGACGCCGCGUGAGCGAAGAAGUACCUCGGUAUGUAAAGCUCUAUCAGCAGGGAAGAAAAUGACGGUACCUGACUAAGAAGCCCCGGCUAAAUACGUGCCAGCAGCCGCGGUAAUACGUAUGGGGCAAGCGUUAUCCGGAUUUACUGGGUGUAAAGGGAGCGCAGGCGGCCUGCCAAGUCUGGUGUGAAAGCCCGGGGCCCAACCCCGGGCCUGCAUUGGAAACUGGCGGGCUGGAGUGUCGGAGGGGCAGGCGGAAUUCCUAGUGUAGCGGUGAAAUGCGUAGAUAUUAGGAGGAACACCGGUGGCGAAGGCGGCCUGCUGGACGAUGACUGACGCUGAGGCUCGAAAGCGUGGGGAGCAAACAGGAUUAGAUACCCGUGUAA